rnacentral:rRNA from 1 species
UACGUAGGGGCCAAGCGUUGUCCGGAUUUAUUGGGCGUAAAGAGCUCGUAGGCGGCUUGUCACGUCGGGUGUGAAAGACCGGGGCUUAACUCCGGUUCUGCAUUCGAUACGGGCUAGCUAGAGUGUGGUAGGGGAGAUCGGAAUUCCUGGUGUAGCGGUGAAAUGCGCAGAUAUCAGGAGGAACACCGGUGGCGAAGGCGGAUCUCUGGGCCAUUACUGACGCUGAGGAGCGAAAGCGUGGGGAGCGAACAGG